rnacentral:rRNA from 1 species
AGUGAACGCUGGCGGUAGGCCUAACACAUGCCAGUCGAACGGCAGCACAGUAAGAGCUUGCUCUUACGGGUGGCGAGAGGCGGACGGGUGAGGAAUACAUCGGAAUCUACUUUUUCGUGGGGGAUAACGUAGGGAAACUUACGCUAAUACCGCAUACGACCUACGGGUGAAAGCAGGGGAUCUUCGGACCUUGCGCGAUUGAAUGAGCCGAUGUCGGAUUAGCUAGUUGGCGGGGUAAAGGCCCACCAAGGCGACGAUCCGUAGCUGGUCUGAGAGGAUGAUCAGCCACACUGGAACUGAGACACGGUCCAGACUCCUACGGGAGGCAGCAGUGGGGAAUAUUGGACAAUGGGCGCAAGCCUGAUCCAGCCAUACCGCGUGGGUGAAGAAGGCCUUCGGGUUGUAAAGCCCUUUUGUUGGGAAAGAAAAGCAGCAGGUUAAUACCCCGCUGUUCUGACGGUACCCAAAGAAUAAGCACCGGCUAACUUCGUG